rnacentral:RNase_P_RNA from 1 species
GCGUUCCCACGUCUCACCGCUCCCGGGCAACCGGGGGAGGAAAGUCCGGACAAUGUAGGGAAACCGCACCACUUAACAGGUGGCUCAGAAGAAGUUCUGAAGAGAUCGUGUCACAGAAAAUUACCGCCGGAAUUCCGUUCCGGUAAGGGUGAAAACGCGUGGUAAGAGCACGCGCACGUUGUGAGCAAUUGCAGCGUGGGAUAAACCUUGCGGAUUGAAAUGCCAUGUAUAUCCAUUGCCGUGAGGCCUCAUUUCCCUGGAGUGUCGCAAGACAGGUGGAGGGGUAGGCAGAGCAGAUAAAUGGUGAGAACACUGCGCUUGGCGCGGUGUACAGAAUCCGGCUUACAGUGGGAAUUUUUAA